GUGCUCGCUUCAGCAGCACAUACAUUAAAGUUGGAAUGAUGUACAGAAGACUGGCAUGGCCUUUGUGUGAGGAUGACCACCCAUUUCCAGAAGCCUUCCAUACAUUC